AUCAAACCUUUAUGACGAAGAAAUGUAAUUGAGGCUUAAUAUUUUUAAUUUCAGCAUAAACUUAAACAAAAAAGAAAAAGAAAACACAAAUACAACCAAAUAUAUACAGAACUUGAAUUAAGAAAAUAAAGCAUCAUUUAUUUGACGUAAAAUUUUAAACAUUAAUGCACAUCUUCUUUUCUGCAUUGUUUAAUUCUGAACAAUAAAAGAUUUCAUAUCGCAGACACCGAUAUACGUCAGUGACGGAUAUUAUCGGUCUGGUUCUAGUUAAAAGUUCUGACGGGGCAUUUUUAAAAGUAACGUGACGUCGCCUUUGCUUUGAAUUUGCUCGUGAUUCAUGUGACAUCAUGACAUGACCUCAUCUCGUCUCUCAGCAGCACCGAUGAUAUCGAUGAUUCGCCGUUCGAGGGGAGGUUUUUCAGAUCGACUUCUUUUUUUUUUGUGGAUAAUUAUGAAUAAAUCCUGCGUACGUGUCUGUGAAGUCCAACUUUUUUCUGGAUCACGUUUCCCACAUCGUUUGGGAUCAGACCUGUCAGGUCUGAAAGCCUGAGGGAUUUUUCCUUGUACCUCCUCGCCGUCGCGUCCCAGAAGCAACUCGUGAGUUUUUGCGAGCGUUGCUAAACCAAACUGACCCCAAUCCUGACAUUGACCAGCAGCAACGCGCUUCAUACUUUUAGCUUAGUCCCUUUCACAAAGAUUAU